rnacentral:rRNA from 1 species
UACAGAGGGGGCAAGCGUUAUUCGGAAUUAUUGGGUGUCGGUAAAGGGCGCGUAGGCGGCCUGGCAAGUGGAAUGGUGAAAGUCCCUCCGGCUUAACCGAGGAACUGCCAUCCAGACUGCUUGGCUUGAGACCGGGAGAGGUGAGUGGAAUUCCCAGUGUAGCGGUGAAAUGCGUAGAUAUUGGGAGGAACACCAGUGGCGAAGGCGGCUCACUGGACCGGUACUGACGCUGAGGCGCGAAAGCGUGGGGAGCAACGGG